rnacentral:tRNA from 1 species
GGUGGCUCAGUGGUAGAGCACUUGCCUCACAUGCAUGAGGCUCUGGUUUCGAUUCCUCAGCACCA